rnacentral:lncRNA from 1 species
UACUGACUAUGCCAAUAUUGGUAUACCCCGAGGAGUGUAUCCCGAGGACUCAAUCUAUACCCCACCUCAUUUCUCUUCUUCUAUCCUCGAGGUCAUCUAAGUCCUCGAGAUACCUUAGUCCUCGAGAUACCUCGAGGACACAUUUACAUUCCCUCAAUGUCCUCGAGAAUAGUCCUCGAGACAUACAGGUACCAACAUACCUCCUAAGACCUGGGUACCUAACUAACAAACCUAAACACCCAAGGAUUCUACAUCAACCCUAACACCACUUGUCAAACAAUUCCAUUACAAGUAGGACAUUCUUUAUAAUAGAAAUUCCCUUGGAUAAAAACAUCCAACCAACACAAUCCUACUAGGAGUACACUACCUACUCCUAUAAAAGCAGAACCUUGGGCCAUUAUUCAGGUNNN